rnacentral:rRNA from 1 species
UACAGAGGUCUCAAGCGUUGUUCGGAUUCAUUGGGCGUAAAGGGUUCGUAGGUGGCGUGGUAAGUCGGGUGUGAAAUUUCGGAGCUUAACUCCGAAACUGCAUUCGAUACUGCUGUGCUUGAGGACUGGAGAGGAGACUGGAAUUUACGGUGUAGCAGUGAAAUGCGUAGAGAUCGUAAGGAAGACCAGUGGCGAAGGCGGGUCUCUGGACAGUUCCUGACACUGAGGCACGAAGGCCAGGGGAGCAAACGGG